rnacentral:rRNA from 1 species
UGGGGAAUAUUGCACAAUGGGCGCAAGCCUGAUGCAGCGACGCCGCGUGGGGGAUGACGGCCUUCGGGUUGUAAACUCCUUUCGCAACCGACGAAGCUUUUGUGACGGUAGGUUGAGAAGAAGCACCGGCUAACUACGUGCCAGCAGCCGCGGUAAUACGUAGGGUGCGAGCGUUGUCCGGAAUUACUGGGCGUAAAGAGCUCGUAGGUGGUUUGUCGCGUCGUUUGUGGAAUACCGCAGCUUAACUGCGGGGUUGCAGGCGAUACGGGCAUAACUUGAGUGCUGUAGGGGAGACUGGAAUUCCUGGUGUAGCGGUGGAAUGCGCAGAUAUCAGGAGGAACACCGAUGGCGAAGGCAGGUCUUCUUGGGCAGUAACUGACGCUGAGGAGCGAAAGCAUGGGGAGCGAACA